GCCUAGCCCUAAACUUAAAUAGCCACACAACAAUGCUAUUCGCCAGAGUACUACUAGCAACAGCUUAAAACUCAAAGGACUUGGCGGUGCUUCACAUCCAUCUAGAGGAGCCUGUUCUGUAAUCGAUAAACCCCGAUAAACCUCACCAACCCUUGCUAAUUCAGCCUAUAUACCGCCAUCUUCAGCGAACCCUAAAAAGGAGCCAUAGUAAGCAAAAUCAUAAAUCAUAAAAACGUUAGGUCAAGGUGUAGCCAAUGAGUUGGGAGAAAUGGGCUACAUUUUCUAAUAUAGAACAUCAUACGAAAAUUUCCGUGAAACCGGAGAUAGAAGGAGGAUUUAGUAGUAAACUAAGAAUAGAGAGCUUAGUUGAAUAAGGCCAUGAAGCAC
rnacentral:rRNA from 1 species